GAUGAACGCUGGCGGCGUGCCUAAUACAUGCAAGUCGAGCGAACGGACGAGAAGCUUGCUUCUCUGAUGUUAGCGGCGGACGGGUGAGUAACACGUGGAUAACCUACCUAUAAGACUGGGAUAAUUUCGGGAAACCGGCGCUAAUACCGGAUAAUAUUUUGAACCGUAUGGUUCAAAAGUGAAAGACGGUCUUGCUGUAACUUAUAGAUGGAUCCGCGCUGCAUUAGCUAGUUGGUAAGGUAACGGCUUACCAAGGCGACGAUGCAUAGCCGACGGGCGAGAGUGAUCGGCCACCCUGGAGCUUGGACACGGACCGUACGCCUACGGGAGGCAGCAGUAGGGAAUGUUCCGCAGUGGGCGGAAGCCUUACGGAGCGACGCCGCGUGAGUGAUGAAAGUCUUCGGAUCGUAAAACUCUGUUAUUAGGGGAGAACAUAUUUGUAAGUAACUGUGCACAUCGUGACGGUACCUAAUCAAAAAGCCACGGCUAACUACGUG
rnacentral:rRNA from 1 species